AGGGAGUUUGAUCCUGGCUCGGGACGAACGCUGGCGGCGUGCUUAACACAUGCAAGUCGAACGGAGCGAAGCCCUUCGGGGCUGAGCUUAGUGGCGGACGGGUGAGUAACACGUGAGCAACCUGCCCAUUUACAGGGGGAUAGCAGCUGGAAACGGCUGGUAAUACCGCAUAAGACCACAGAACCGCAUGGUUGAGGGGUAAAAGGAGAGAUCCGGUAAUGGAUGGGCUCGCGUCCCAUUAGGUAGUUGGUGAGAUAACAGCCCACCAAGCCAACGAUGGGUAACCGACUUGAGAGAGUGAUCGGUCACAUUGGAACUGAGAAACGGUCCAAACUCCUACGGGAGGCAGCAGUGGGGAAUAUUGGGCAAUGGGGGAAACCCUGACCCAGCAACGCCGCGUGAGGGAAGAAGGCCUUCGGGUUGUAAACCUCUGUCCUCGGGGACGAAGAAAUGACGGUACCCGGGGAGGAAGCCCCGGCUAACUACGUGCCAGCAGCCGCGGUAAUACGUAGGGGGCGAGCGUUGUCCGGAAUUACUGGGCGUAAAGGGUGCGCAGGCGGCAGCUUAAGUUUAUUGUGACAGCCCCGGGCUUAACCUGGGGAUUGCAGUAAAAACUGGGCAGCUAGAGUACAGGAGAGGUAAGCGGAAUUCCUAGUGUAGCGGUGGAAUGCGUAGAUAUUAGGAGGAACACCAGUGGCGAAGGCGGCUUACUGGACUGAAACUGACGCUGAGGCACGAAAGCGUGGGGAGCAAACAGGAUUAGAUACCCUGGUAGUCCCCU
rnacentral:rRNA from 1 species